GUACUGCUGAGGAGUCCCAUACUAGGACGAAACGUCCUUCCAGUGC
rnacentral:hammerhead_ribozyme from 1 species